CCCCUCUUUUGAGGCCAGCUUGCUGGUACCCAAACGGUGUUAGCAUUUUUUGUCUUGGACAUUUGAGUAUGGCUUACGGGCAUUUAUUGGACCGAUCUGAGUGUAAGUUACGGUCGCAUGCGACACGUGCUUUUCAAUUAGUUCGGUCCAGUUAAUGCUCUCGUACUCGUUCCCCAUGUAAAAGCCGGUCAUCUAUCCGACCCGUCUUGAAACACGGACCAAGGAGUUUAUCGUGUGCGCAAGUUUUUGGGUGUUAAAAACUUAAAAGCGAAAUGAAAGUAAAUGACUCUUUAGAGUCUGAUGUGCGAUCUUGUAAAAAAGUGUAGCAUGGCCCCAUUCUAACUGUUUACAGUAGGGUGGCGGAAGAGCGUACGCGGUGAGACCCGAAAGAUGGUGAACUAUUCCUGAGCAGGACGAAGCCAGAGGAAACUCUGGUGGAAGUCCGAAGCGGUUACAAUUUUCCCCCAA
rnacentral:rRNA from 1 species